CCUACGGGAGGCAGCAGUGGGGAAUAUUGGACAAUGGGCGAAAGCCUGAUCCAGCAAUUCCGCGUGUGUGAAGAAGGCCUUCGGGUUGUAAAGCACUUUAGUGGGGGAAGAAACAGCUUGGCCACACCAAGCCUUGACGGUACCCCAAGAAUAAGCACCGGCUAACUCUGUGCCAGCAGCCGCGGUAAUACAGAGGGUGCAAGCGUUAAUCGGAUUUACUGGGCGUAAAGGGUGCGUAGGUGGCUAUUUAAGUCGGAUGUGAAAGCCCGGGGCUCAACCUCGGAAUUGCAUUCGAUACUGAGUGGCUAGAGUUCGGUAGAGGGCGGCGGAAUUUCCGGUGUAGCGGUGAAAUGCGUAGAUAUCGGAAGGAACAUCAAUGGCGAAGGCAGCCGCCUGGGCCUGGACUGACACUGAGGCACGAAAGCGUGGGUAGCAAACAGGAUUAGAUACCCUGGUAGUCCACGCCGUAAACGGUGAGAACUUGACGUUGGUUCGUUUUACGAAUCGGUGUCGCAGCUAACGCGAUAAGUUCUCCGCCUGGGGAGUACGGCCGCAAGGUUGAAACUCAAAUGAAUUGACGG
rnacentral:rRNA from 1 species